AGUGAACGCUGGCGGCAGGCCUAACACAUGCAAGUCGAGCGGAUGAAGGGAGCUUGCUCCUGGAUUCAGCGGCGGACGGGUGAGUAAUUCCUAGGAAUCUGCCUGUUAGUGUUGGAUAACGUCCUGAAACGGGCGCUAAUACCGCAUACGUCCUGAGGGAGAAAGUGGGGGAUCUUCGGACCUCACGCUAUCAGAUGAGCCUAGGUCGGAUUAGCGAGUUGGUGGGUUAAAGGCCUACCAAGGCGACGAUCCGUAACUGGUCUGAGAGGAUGAUCAGUCACACUGGAACUGAGACACGGUCCAGACUCCUACGGGAGGCAGCAGUGGGGAAUAUUGGACAAUGGGCGCAAGCCUGAUCCAGCCAUGCCGCGUGUGUGAAGAAGGUCUUCGGAUUGUAAAGCACUUUAAGUUGGGAGGAAGGGCAGUAAGUUAAUACCUUGCUGUUUUGACGUUACCAACAGAAUAAGCACCGGCUAACUUCGUG
rnacentral:rRNA from 1 species